AUGAAGAGAAACACACUUGUAGGAGGAAGUGAAAGCUACAUAUCUGGAAAUAACACCAGAAUAAGGAUAUUACCGCCAAAUACAUUCAAUUUCAGACCAAAAGAUCAUAUCCAAGUUUAUGAUAUGGAAAUAUGCUUAUUGGAUAUUAAGGACAUAAUCAGAAGACAAGAAAAAGGUUGUAUGCAAUCUAAUAUCAAUAACCCUGCAGUAUAUUUUACACCAAGACCAACAUAUAUUAUGUUCGAUGGAAUAGCUAUGACAUUGGAAGAAAUACAAAUAAGGCGUGAUGAAAUCAAGUAUGCCGCAAAUUGGGCCAAGAUAAUGAAAGGAUGUUAUUUCGAGUAUCAAGAACUGAUAGAAAGAAUAUAA
rnacentral:rRNA from 1 species